UUGCUUUCUACAGGUUGAAGAAGUUUACCUUUAUAAGAAGCAGAAAGUUGACAGAUAUAGUAGAUAAUUCUGUUAUGCCUGCUUGGAAAUGAUUAAUGCUAAACUUCUGAACAGGUCUGCCUUGAAAAGGAAAUGUCACCUGUUCAAACGCAGCUUUGUAUGUUCUCCUGCAGUAAUGUAUUCAGGCUUAUCAACAUGCUGAUCUGCUGGUAGUUUCAGGGAGUAAAUGUUAGUUUCAGCAAAUGAAGCCCAAUCCUGCAGGUGCGUGUUCAGGCAAAGCUGCCAUUAGUUUUAAUGAGAGUUUGUCUUCUUCAAAAGUACAGGAUGAAGCCAGCAAGUGGGUAAAUGAAAUGUGUGAGCAUAAGGAAAUUGUAUAUAGAAGUUCUGCUCCAAAAGGAACACCUCCUAUUUUAUGAUGUUGGCCCACGACGUCAGAGAAAGAUGUUGGUGGUAUUGGCAGUAGAGGCUGAACCUUCCCACCAAUGUUGCAUUACAUUUUGUUGCUGUGUGACGGAUGGCAGCAGUGGGGCAGUCUGACAAAUGGCGUCUGACAUGGAAGUGUGUAUGGAGCAAAGGUGUGAAACUGAACUUCUCCAUGCAGAAAAAAAUGGAACUCACUGACAUUCAUCGACACUUGCUGAACAUUUAUGGAGACCACACAGUGGAUGCAAGCACAGUGAGGUGGUGGAUGGUGCAUUUCAGCAGUGGCAACGUGAGAUGCCUUCUGCCUUCUUCCCACUCAUGUGGCUGCAGGCCCUCUGGAACAGAGCUCCAGACCAGAUGCAGCCUAUGGGCCACAGAUUCCCACCCUGACCAAAAAGGGAAGCUUUCUCCUGGAAGGAUGAUGGCAGAGGAGAAAAUGCAGCAGCCCUGGGCAACGAGCAAGGUCUGCAGUCUGGCAGUGCAGCUCAGCAGAUCUCUGAGAUGUGAAGUCAUCUAAGUGGAGCCACCCUACGCGUGUCAAACGAACUGACAGAUUGCAAGUGUGCUUCCUCACAUUUUGGUUUCACUGAGUCAGCAAGCCUUGCAUGGGGUGGUUCCUCUGUUCACUGAGAUUUUACCAGUCUUCCAAUUAAAUUCCCUUUCCACCAAUAUGAACUUGACAUUCUUUGGAAGAGGUCACAUGCCGGUUCGCACACCUGCAGGGAUUACAGUAGAGCUGCUCAUUAUUCCAGCCCUCUUGUCUGGGUAGACAUACUUACACCAAGGAUGUACCUCCUGUGGUUAUUUUCUCUCUGAGGUGAGGGAGGUAAAAUUGUUUGCCUAGUAUAUACCAAUCAUUUCCCUCAUGGUAAUGGGCAAAUACCUGCUUGCUGCUGGCUUUCCUUCAUGGAACUUGCAAUGCUGCUCAAUUUUUCCAUUUAUUUACUCAGCCUGUAGGGCACUGUAUUCCGGUUUCAUUCUUUAGGUUUCUUUGAAGCCAAUGAAGCAGGACUGGCUCUUGAAAGUGCAGAAGUUGGGAUUCAAUCCAUAUUUAUAUGCCAUUGCUGUAAAUGUGGAGACUGUAUUAAAGGGCUGAUCAGGCACGAAAAAAGACUUUAACUAAUUUAAGUCAGCAGGAAACCUUUUGUUUUUUACUUUAUAGAUUUUUCUGCAGUUGCUCAUCCUGAAAAUUUGGCAAUAGGUUUCUGAUAAUUCAAAGUCAAAUCUUGUACCAUAGUCAUGAGUAGAAGGAAAUAAAUGAUUUGAAUAUUAUCAGUUAUGCUUGAAAAAUGAGUGGUUCUUCCACUACUUCCAAACCAAAAGAAUACUUCCCAUUAAUCAAGUUGGAAGACUGUGUCUCAUGCUUCAUUCUAGUUUAUGUAUUCGGUCCUCUUUUCCUUGAUCCUACCUGUAGAGCCAUGUGUUUUCUAUAUUUCCUCUGUUCCAUUUACACUGCAAAUGAUUAUAAUUUCUGUUACACAAAAAAACCUGAGCUGCCACAACCACUACCUA
rnacentral:lncRNA from 1 species